rnacentral:rRNA from 1 species
CCUGAGUACGACGGAGCACGUGAAAUUCCGUCGGAAUCUGGGAGGACCAUCUCCUAAGGCUAAAUACUCUCUAGUGACCGAUAGUGAACCAGUACCGUGAGGGAAAGGUGAAAAGUACCCCGGAAGGGGAGUGAAAGAGAACUUGAAACCGUGUGCUUACAAGUAGUCAGAGCCCGUUAAUGGGUGAUGGCGUGCCUUUUGUAGAAUGAACCGGCGAGUUACGAUCUGAUGCAAGGUUAAGCAGAAAAUGUGGAGCCGUAGCGAAAGCGAGUCUGAAUAGGGCGAAUGAGUAUUUGGUCGUAGACCCGAAACCAGGUGAUCUACCCUUGGUCAGGUUGAAGUUCAGGUAACACUGAAUGGAGGACCGAACCGACUUACGUUGAAAAGUGAGCGGAUGAACUGAGGGUAGCGGAGAAAUUCCAAUCGAACUUGGAGAUAGCUGGUUCUCUCCGAAAUAGCUUUAGGGCUAGCCUCAAGUGAUGAUUAUUGGAGGUAGAGCACUGUUUGGACGAGGGGCCCCUCUCGGGUUACCGAAUUCAGACAAACUCCGAAUGCCAAAUAAUUUAACUUGGGAGUCAGAAUGUGGGUGAUAAGGUCCAUAUUCGAAAGGGAAACAGCCCAGACCACCAGCUAAGGUCCCAAAAUAUAUGUUAAGUGGAAAAGGAUGUGGCGUUGCCCAGACAACUAGGAUGUUGGCUUAGAAGCAGCCAUCAUUUAAAGAGUGCGUAAUAGCUCACUAGUCGAGUGACACUGCGCCGAAAAUGUACCGGGGCUAAACAUAUUACCGAAGCUGUGGAUUGUCCUUUGGACAAUGGUAGGAGAGCGUUCUAAGGGCGUUGAAGCAUGAUCGCAAGGACAUGUGGAGCGCUUAGAAGUGAGAAUGCCGGUGUGAGUAGCGAAAGACGGGUGAGAAUCCCGUCCACCGAUUGACUAAGGUUUCCAGAGGAAGGCUCGUCCGCUCUGGGUUAGUCGGGUCCUAAGCUGAGGCCGACAGGCGUAGGCGAUGGAUAACAGGUUGAUAUUCCUGUACCACCAUUAUUCGUUUUAAGCGAUGGGGGGACGCAGUAGGAUAGGCGAAGCGUGCUGUUGGAGUGCACGUCCAAGCAGUGAGAUUGAGUGUUAGGCAAAUCCGGCACUCUUAAGAUUGAGCUGUGAUGGGGAGAGGAACUUGUUCCUCGAGUCGUUGAUUUCACACUGCCGAGAAAAGCCUCUAGCUAGAAUAACGGUGCCCGUACCGCAAACCGACACAGGUAGUCAAGAUGAGAAUUCUAAGGUGAGCGAGCGAACUCUCGUUAAGGAACUCGGCAAAAUGACCCCGUAACUUCGGGAGAAGGGGUGCUCUUUGAGGUUCACGCUUCGAAGAGCCGCAGUGAAUAGGCCCAAGCGACUGUUUAUCAAAAACACAGGUCUCUGCUAAACCGUAAGGUGACGUAUAGGGGCUGACGCCUGCCCGGUGCUGGAAGGUUAAGAGGAGUGGUUAGCGCAAGCGAAGCUACGAAUCGAAGCCCCAGUAAACGGCGGCCGUAACUAUAACGGUCCUAAGGUAGCGAAAUUCCUUGUCGGGUAAGUUCCGACCCGCACGAAAGGCGUAACGAUUUGGGCACUGUCUCAACGAGAGACUCGGUGAAAUCAUAGUACCGGUGAAGAUGCCGGUUACCCGCGACAGGACGGAAAGACCCCGUGGAGCUUUACUGUAGCCUGAUAUUGAAAUUCGGUACAGUUUGUACAGGAUAGGUAGGAGCCUUAGAAGCGUGAGCGCUAGCUUACGUGGAGGCAUUGGUGGGAUACUACCCUAAUUGUAUUGGAUUUCUAACCCGCAGCACUUAUCGUGCUGGGAGACAGUGUCAGGCGGGCAGUUUGACUGGGGCGGUCGCCUCCUAAAGAGUAACGGAGGCGCUCAAAGGUUCCCUCAGAAUGGUUGGAAAUCAUUCAUAGAGUGUAAAGGCAUAAGGGAGCUUGACUGCGAGACCUACAAGUCGAGCAGGGUCGAAAGACGGACUUAGUGAUCCGGUGGUUCCGCAUGGAAGGGCCAUCGCUCAACGGAUAAAAGCUACCCCGGGGAUAACAGGCUUAUCUCCCCCAAGAGUUCACAUCGACGGGGAGGUUUGGCACCUCGAUGUCGGCUCAUCGCAUCCUGGGGCUGUAGUCGGUCCCAAGGGUUGGGCUGUUCGCCCAUUAAAGCGGUACGCGAGCUGGGUUCAGAACGUCGUGAGACAGUUCGGUCCCUAUCCGUCGUGGGCGUAGGAAAUUUGAGAGGAGCUGUCCUUAGUACGAGAGGACCGGGAUGGACAUACCUCUGGUGUACCAGUUGUCGUGCCAACGGCAUAGCUGGGUAGCUAUGUAUGGACGGGAUAAGUGCUGAAAGCAUCUAAGCAUGAAGCCCCCCUCGAGAUGAGAUUUCCCAACUUCGGUUAUAAGAUCCCUCAAAGAUGAUGAGGUGAAU